CUAGUUCUUGGAUAUAUAAUAUAGAUAUACGUACAGAAAUAUAUGUACAAGAAAACUUUGAGACUACUUCAGGGUAGCGGGCUCUGACCAAAAUGACAUUGAUUUGGGAAUUGGUCGAAUAUGAUUCCGCAAAGACCUGUUCUUGAUUAGGAAAGGCGUUAGGAGAAGCAAACGAUACUUAUUAUAUAUAGUUCCCUCAGUUGAGCAUGUAGAGUAUCCAUAUAACGAUAAUGAUUCGUAUCCAAAAUGGUUCGUUUCACAACGCCUCCUGCACUGUUUACAAGUUUCCCUUGAUUCUAUUGUUGCUGUUGGUCUCGUCGGAGAUAGUCUCGGCUGCCAGAAUCCCUGUAAUUCCAGUCAACAGUGAGUCUCUUAAUCUCUCUCUCUCUCUCUCUCUCUCUCUCUCUCUCUCUCUCUCUCUCUCUCUCUCUGUAUAUACUAUAUACAGGUUCUGUUAUGAAUUAACGAGUGUUGGUUGGUUCAUUGAUCAAGUAUUUUGAAUCAUAUGAAUGAGAAUGUUCAUCGUACGAAUAUCCAUUGCCAGCAUGGCUGUAUUAUUUGUCUGAUCGAAUCAACUACUAAAGUUACAAAGUUAUUUAUGUAUUGCCAUUGUUAUUGCAGAAGUGAAGAGCAUGUCGCAUGGGGAUCAGUGGGAGAUUGUCGAGGUUAAAAAUCGAUUAACAGGCCGAUUAAUACUAGCAGAAACACCGCCGCCAGCACCCCGGAAAGCUGUAAUAAGACCGCCUACGCCUUCCGGAGGACAAGGUUGAAUUUUGGUUUGGUCAUUUCUAUAAGAGAUCCAUUUCAAUGAGUACUCUUUAGUUGAUAAUUAGUUGAGGACUUCUUUGUUUCACCCCUUCCCGAUUGCGUAUUCAUAUAUCUAAACCGUUUAGUUUACAUGUAUAUCUAAGUAGAUCAUGUCUGCAAAUUCUUAGUCGAAUUGAAAAUCAUUAAAACGUUUGUAAGUGUGAUAUACAAAUUAUAAAUUAUGAACUUGAAUGGUUCAUGUUUGACAGAUUUAGUCCAUUGAUUUAAGUAAUGGUAGCACUGACAGAUUUAGUCCAUUGAUUUAGUAAUGGUAGCACUGAAAUGGAUGUUGUCUACGGUGCUUUUGAAUUUAGCUAGCCAUAGUUAUUACUAUAUUCUUUUCAGUAACAUAAGAAAGAACAAAGAAAUAAAAGGCUCGUUUGCCUGUAUUCCUAUUAUUGCGCCUUUAUUAUGAAUAAAAUAGGCAUUACAAUGAGCACUUUUAUUUUGAUUUUUGCCAUCUUAUAUAUAUAAGAAUGCACAAGAAAAAACUUCUGCCUGUGUUGAUCAUUUUGAUAAAAGGUUCACAUGGCCUGCGCUGUGUUUUCAAGAACUAUAAACUUAACCAAGGAAUAAAAUAAUGUUCCAACAGAAGCACUAUUCUUGAUCUUUGAUGGACCUGCCACUCAUUUGCUUUCUGCUUGCAAUUCACUGAGAAUGAUGGGUUCUUCAGUUACUCCAUUCACGGUUUUCAUCAAGUCAUGCCCAGUAAAUCCAUCGUGCUUUGCAUAAAAUAGGUGCACAAUUUUGCACAUGUUCCAAAACAGGUCCUUGCAAGCUCUUGGAACCAAGNNNNNNNNNNNNNNNNNNNNCGAGUGUUGGUUGGUUCAUUGAUCAAGUAUUUUGAAUCAUAUGAAUGAGAAUGUUCAUCGUAUGAAUAUCCAUUGCCAGCAUGGCUGUAUUAUUUGUCUGAUCGAAUCAACUACUAAAGUUACAAAGUUAUUUAUAUAUUGCCAUUUUUAUUGCAGAAGUGAAGAGCAUGUCGCAUGGGGAUCAGUGGGAGAUUGUCGAGGUUAAAAAUCGAUUAACAGGCCGAUUAAUACUAGCAGAAACACCGCCGCCAGCAUCCCGGAAAGCUGUAAUAAGACCGCCUACGCCUUCCGGAGGACAAGGUUGAAUUUUUGUUUGGUCAUUUCUAUAAGAGAUCCAUUCUAACGAGGACACUUUAGUUGAUGAUUAGUUGAGAACUUCUUUGUUUCACCUCUUUCCGAUUGCGUAUUCAAAUAUUUAAACCGUUCAGUUUACAUAUAUAUCUAAGUAAAUCAUGUCUGUAAAUUUUUAGUCGAAUUGAAAAUCAUUAAGGCGUUUGUAAGUGUGAUAUAUAAAUUAUGAACUUGAAUGGUUCACGGUUGACAGAUUUAGUCCAUUGAUUUAGUAAUGGUAGCACUGAAAUGGUUGUUGUCUACAGUGCUUUUGAAUUUAGCUAGCCAUAGUUAUUACUAUUUUCUUUUCAGUUACUUAAGAAAGAACAGAGAAAUGAAAGGCUCGUUUGCCUGUAUUCCUAUUAUUGCGCCUUUAUUAUGAAUAAAAUAGGCAUUACAAUGAGCACUUUUAUUUUGAUUUUUGCCAUCUUAUAUAUAUAAGAAUGCACAAGAAAAAACUUCUGCCUGUGUUGAUCAUAGGGAAAUUAUUAUUUGUACCCGG
rnacentral:lncRNA from 1 species